rnacentral:tRNA from 1 species
GUGUAGCUCAGAGGUGAGAGUGCUUGCCUAGCACACAAGGAGAUGUGGGUUCAACCCUCAUCAC